rnacentral:rRNA from 1 species
GACGAACGCUGGCUGCGUGCUUAACACAUGCAAGUCGAACGCUGAAGCCGACAGCUUGCUGUUGGUGGAUGAGUGGCGAACGGGUGAGUAACACGUGAGUAACCUGCCCCUGAUUUCGGGAUAAGCCUGGGCAACUGGGUCUAAUACCGGAUACGACCACCUGACGCAUGUUGGGUGGUUGAAAGUUUUUCGAUCGGGGAUGGGCUCGCGGCCUAUCAGCUUGUUGGUGGGGUAAUGGCCUACCAAGGCGACGACGGGUAGCCGGCCUGAGAGGGCGACCGGCCACACUGGGACUGAGACACGGCCCAGACUCCUACGGGAGGCAGCAGUGGGGAAUAUUGCACAAUGGGGGAAACCCUGAUGCAGCGACGCAGCGUGCGGGAUGACGGCCUUCGGGUUGUAAACCGCUUUCAGCAGGGAAGAAGCGAAAGUGACGGUACCUGCAGAAGAAGCGACGGCUAAAUAUGUGCCAGCAGCCGCGGUAA